UAUUGAUGAUGACUUUAUUUGUGGCCAGUUUUCGAAAGUACAAUUUUGUAAUUUUCAUUGUGUACUAAUACUAACCUGUGAUUAGAGUACAACUUGCAAUGACUGUAAAAAAGAGAGAAUUGCUGGUGAUAUACGAUAUGCGAAACCCAAAUGAUCAAGCUGUUUCUUGGUUUCAUUUUUCUAAGAAGAUUCCGAUCGCUGAAUCGUUGAGAAGGGAGUUGGGAGGAAAUUUGUUGAAUAUCCGAAGUGUACUAGAAAAGGACAAUUCUAUCCGGAUAAUCUUCGGGAAACAUAAAGCUGACGAUAACUUUCUCGUAGUUGUUUAUGGCAAAGGACCUUGCAGGUCAAAUUCGCAGGAUUGCAAAUUUUUUGGAAAUUGAGCUAAAGGAUUUCGAAGUUGAAAGAAUUGCUGAUGCUUGUUCAAUUGGAUUUAGGAAAAAAAGAGCAGAAACAGAAAUGACUGGGAUUUUGAAGAUGAAAGUACGAAAAGGCAAGACUUGAAUUGAAUGAAAAUUUAAAAGCAUGUCUUCAGCUCAAUCAUCAAAUAACAAAUCAAGAAAGAAAUAUCCGUAUUCCAUAUCCAUACCAUACGUAUUCCGGUCCUUUCAAUCGUAUAUUCCAUAAUUGUUAAUCAAUGCUUUCAUGAAGUCGAGUUCAGAGUAAAGUAAAAUAUCAGGCAAACGGUCAAGUAAAUCAUUCAUAAUUUUUCAUAAACUUGACCAUCCACGGAAUUAAGCAAAUAAAAUAUACCACCUGCUAAUUGCCUUACAUCAGCAGAAUAGUAAUCAAACUUCGUUUAAUCAAAAAUGAAUUACUGUUGCACAGUCUGAAGUUAUGAACAAAAUCAUAGAAGAACGACUUGCCGCCACUGGAAUCAAAUUUGUGUACACACACUGUAGUCCUCUUUACUAUUUUCGCGUUGUCAGAUAGUAUCUUUACACUUUUUAAUUUAUUUCUAUAUUUGUCAAAAUCUGUCAUUAUACUCGCUAUGGAAAUGUGAUCUUUGAAAAGUAUUUUUUUCUGCUUCAUUUUUUGUUUGUAACAUCUUAUGAAAUGAUAUUUUAGUCAGCUUUUAUUUGUGGAUGAGUUUGUACAUGCUAGUCAGUUUACCUUUGUCAUACUUUUGUCGUGGAUACAUAGAUUCUUAAAAUUUGUUUUCGGCUUCUGUUUUUUGAUACCUAGCAUUUAACAAACUCUCUCACAGUGUUAAUCUUAUCCAGUUAUUUAAAGAAGCACUUGCGCAUUUUUUAUAUUCUCAAAAUAAAGGUUUAUUCCAGGGUCGUCCAGCCCGUGGGCCACAUGUGGCCCACCAAAGGCUGUGAAGCUAGAAGAGGUAGUUUGUAUGACCUCAAUAUUUUACAGCACUUAGGCUACUUGUACGAGCAAAUAGUUUUGCGGAUGAACCAUGUCAAAUUCCCCGUGAGAUCACUAAUUUCUAACGGUCAUAUGAAAAAUUUGCUAUGCAUUGCUACAUCGUCCAUCGCACCGAAUAUUGACAAACUUAUUGGAUAGAAGCGGUGUCAUACUUGACAUUAAAAUAUCUAUGAGUGGUUAAAACUUUUGACUUAACUGUAUCUUCAUCGUUUUCAUAAUUUUGGUGUGAGGUUUUUUUUUUAUUUUUCAUUAAUCUGUAGUCGGUGUAAUGAAAACUAGAACAUAACAACCAUGUCAAGUGGCACGUGCAAUCAUUCGUAAACAAAAUGUGGCCAUUUGGCACAAAAUGUUGGACAACCCUGGCUUCAUUCGA